rnacentral:rRNA from 1 species
AGCGAACGCUGGCGGCAGGCUUAACACAUGCAAGUCGAGCGGGCACUUCGGUGUCAGCGGCAGACGGGUGAGUAACACGUGGGAACGUGCCCUUCGGUUCGGAAUAACUCAGGGAAACUUGAGCUAAUACCGGAUACGCCCUUUUGGGGAAAGGUUUACUGCCGAAGGAUCGGCCCGCGUCUGAUUAGCUAGUUGGUGGGGUAAUGGCCUACCAAGGCGACGAUCAGUAGCUGGUCUGAGAGGAUGAUCAGCCACACUGGGACUGAGACACGGCCCAGACUCCUACGGGAGGCAGCAGUGGGGAAUAUUGGACAAUGGGCGCAAGCCUGAUCCAGCCAUGCCGCGUGAGUGAUGAAGGCCUUAGGUUGUAAAGCUCUUUUGUCCGGGACGAUAAUGACGGUACGGAAGAAUAAG